GAUGAAGAACGUAAGCGAAAUGCGAUAAGUAAUGUGAAUUGCAGAAUUCAGUGAAUCAUCGAAUCUUUGAACGCACAUUGCGCUCCCUGGUAUUCCGGGGAGCAUGCCUGUUCGAGCGUCAUUAUCAACCCUCAAGCCCUGCUUGGUAUUGGGUGCCGUCCCUGCUGUGGACGCGCCCUAAAGACGUUGGCGGCGGUGUCAUACCUCAAGCGUAGUAAAAUCUCCAGCUUUCUUGGUGUGACAUUGCUUUGCCUCCAGAAACCCAUCUUUUUACAGGUUGACCUCGGAUCAGGUAGGGAUACCCGCUGAACUUAAGCAUAUCAAUAAGCGGAGGA
rnacentral:misc_RNA from 1 species